rnacentral:rRNA from 1 species
GACGAACGCUGGCGGCGUGCUUAACACAUGCAAGUCGAACGGUGACGAGGAGCUUGCUCCUCCGAUCAGUGGCGAACGGGUGAGUAACACGUGAGUAACCUGCCCCGGACUCUGGGAUAACAGUUGGAAACAGCUGCUAAUACCGGAUACGAGACGGAGAGGCAUCUCUACCGUCUGGAAAGUUCUUCGGUCCGGGAUGGACUCGCGGCCUAUCAGCUAGUUGGUGAGGUAACGGCUCACCAAGGCGACGACGGGUAGCCGGCCUGAGAGGGCGACCGGCCACACUGGGACUGAGACACGGCCCAGACUCCUACGGGAGGCAGCAGUGGGGAAUAUUGCACAAUAGGGCGGAAAGACCUGAUGCAGCGACGCCGCCGUGAGGGAGUGACGGCCGUCGUCGUACGUACGUUA